CUACUGGGGUAUCUAAUCCUGUUUGCUCCCCACACUUUCGCACCUCAGCGUCAAUACUUGUCCAGCGAGUCGCCUUCGCCACUGGUGUUCUUCCGAAUAUCUACGAAUUUCACCUCUACACUCGGAAUUCCACUCGCCUCUCCAAGAUUCUAGCCAUCUAGUUUCAAAGGCUAUUCCGGGGUUGAGCCCCGGGCUUUCACCUCUGACUUGAACGGCCGCCUACGCGCGCUUUACGCCCAGUAAUUCCGAACAACGCUAGCUCCCUCCGUAUUACCGCGGCUGCUGGCAC
rnacentral:rRNA from 1 species